rnacentral:rRNA from 1 species
AUACGGAAGGUCCGGGCGUUAUCCGGAUUUAUUGGGUUUAAAGGGAGCGUAGGCCGUGGAUUAAGUGUGUUGUGAAAUGUAGACGCUCAACGUCUGACUUGCAGCGCAUACUGGUCCACUUGAGUGCGCACAACGCGGGCGGAAUUUGUCGUGUAGCGGUGAAAUGCUUAGAUAUGACGAAGAACCCCGAUUGCGAAGGCAGCUCGCGGGAGCGCAACUGACGCUGAAGCUCGAAAGUGCGGGUAUCGAACAGGAUUAGACACCCUGGUAGUCCGCACGGUAAACGAUGGAUGCCCGCUUUUCGGUCAUUAGACCGUGAGGCCAAGUGAAAACAUUAAGCAUCCCACCUGGGGAGUACGCCGGCAACGGUGAAACUCAAAGGAAUUGACGGGG